rnacentral:rRNA from 1 species
UACGAAGGGGGCUAGCGUUGUUCGGAAUUACUGGGCGUAAAGCGCACGUAGGCGGAUUUGUUAGUCAGGGGUGAAAUCCCGGGGCUCAACCUCGGAACUGCCUUUGAUACUGCAAGUCUCGAGUCCGAUAGAGGUGGGUGGAAUUCCUAGUGUAGAGGUGAAAUUCGUAGAUAUUAGGAAGAACACCGGUGGCGAAGGCGGUUCUCUGGGCCUUACCUGACGCUGAGGAGCGAAAGCGUGGGGAGCGAACAGG